AUUUACUUUAAUUGUAUUAACAACUUCUUUUGUGGGUUUUAUUAUAACAACUCCCAUUUUGAAGAUAAAGGCCUUGAGCUGAGGGAAUGGCAGAGUCAGAACAGAAACCCUCUGGUCACAAAAUGACUAGAAAUAAAAAUAAAUCACUAUGGUUCCCUGAAUAUCAUAAAAGAAAGGUGGUAUAAGAAACCAUAUCAAGUCUUGGAAUAAUCCAGAAAGAAUAUAUUAUUUGUAGGUGUUAAUAUAAGCACUAAUUAUUUGUAACUGUCUUGUAGGUAAUAAUAAAUGGUGAUGACAGGUUGGGAAAAAAAUUGUAAGGAUUUUAUUCUUAUUUACUAUUUAGGAGAAGAUGGCAUCAGUUCAACUUCUAGAUGUGCAAAUAAAUGACUGGAGUUGGAUUUGUAAUCAGAUCCUCUAUCUCUUCAUCCAGUCAGUGAUAUGUUUAAAGUCAUUGUCUGAAAUACGUACUGUAUGAUUUUGGUAGGCUGAAUAAUGCCCUCUUCCAGAAGAUGUCCACAUCCUAAUACCUGGAACAGAUAAGUGUUAUAUGGCAAAAAGGAGUUUUGUGGGUGUGAUUAAAGUAAGGAUUUUGAGAUGCAGAGAUUGUUUUGGAUUAUCUGAGUGGGCCCUAGAUGCAAUCACAAGUAUCCUUAUAAAAGGGCAUAAAGAAACUCUUUCAUCCAGAGGGAG
rnacentral:lncRNA from 1 species